CCUGGCGAUACCUUAGCCAUCUCCUGAGUAUAGCAAUUAUAAUUUAAUAGAAACAAGCCGAGCUUCACGAUACAAAAGCAAGGCAGGUUCUGCCACGGCGGAGUUUGAGAAUCCAAGGAGUUGCUGCGGACGGUCAUUGCGGCAUUUACCAAAUACACCGUGAUAAAGAAUGACUGUGUGGAUGAGGGACAUGAAAGAAAGCUGGGCCAAAGCUGAGCAAGUGGAACCCGAGGGUCCUGCAGAAAGCGGCACCGACCUCUAGCUUCUCUUGGCAAGGUUACAAGCACAGAAAAUCAUGGGAAGCUAAUUUCCAACCUGUAACUGAAAAGAUGGAAGGAGACUUACAAAGCCCCCAUCCCCAAUCCCCAGAAAGACACCAAAAACCGUAGCUGGAAAACUGUGUUUCCCAAUUCACAGACCCGGGAUAAUAGCUAUGGAUGCAAGUAGAAGGAAUAUUUAUUUAUCUUCAGCCUUCAACAUGGAUGCGGUCUCCUCCUCUAAUGAGGACUUUCCCACAUUGCACUUUCUGGAAUUCAUAGGACAACGUGGAACAGUCAUUCUUUUUGUCCACCAUGUGAGUCCCUAGAAUCGAAAGAUAGACUCUACAAGCAGACAACUUUACCCACCACUGUUGUGGAAUAAUCUUUUUGUAUACUCUAAGAUUUGUCUCUCAGAUUGGUUUAAUAAAAAACUGAAUGGCCAAUGGCAAGGAAGUAUUUGGGGGGCAGAAAGGACUCUGGGAAGAGGAAGGUCAGAGUCAUGAGGAGACUCUAGGGAUGCAGAGCAAGCAAUGUGGGUUUUACAAAGUAAAGGUAAUGGAGCCAUGUAAAGGAACCUAGAUUAAAAGACAUGGGUUAAUUUAAGUUGUAAGAACGUGUUAGAAACAAGCCUAAGCUAUUGGCUAAGCUUUCAUAAAUAAGAAGUCUCUGUGUGCUUAUUUUGGAGCUGCUUUGAGGGACAGAAAAAUCUGCCUAUAUACCAUGCCAUCUCUCCCACCCUGUUACAACAUGUAUUAAGGAAUUAGGUUAAAUAAAUGAGCCAGAAGAAGAAAGGCAAAUGUUGUAUAGCACCACCCAGAAGUGUGUCUAAUUAAGUUGAUUUAACAGAAGAGAAACAAACAUAAAAUGGUGAUGAGCAGAGACUAGGAAGGAUAGGAGAGUGGAGCUCUCUUAUUUGACUGCUACUAAAUUCUGGUUACACAGUAAAAAUCAGAUCUGUUGCUAAGUAAAGACCAUAGGACAAUAUGAGGCAUACAUCUCAAAACGACUACAAAAGAAGGAUUUUCAAUGUUUUUAUGAUAAUAAAAUAAUAAAUGUUUGAGGACAUAGUACAAUUAUCCUAACUUGAAUAUUACAUAAUAUAUGCACACGUUUGAUAACUUUGUAGGAAAGUUAAUGUAUCAAUUAGAUAAAUUGAAAUAGUUGUAACUCAUAUAGCAUUGUUCAAAAGUCAUCCAAGUGGUAUUAAUUUUGUUUUUGCCAGAUAUUUCAAUGUCUAUGAAUAAGUAUUCCACAAAUUGUUUUAGAUCCUUACUGCCAUAUUCCCAAGUGCCAGAAAGUGACCAGUUAAGCCCAUAUCUUGGGCAUGCAAUUACUCUGUUAACAGGUCCAUGGCUAAAAUACAUCAAUGUAAUAAGCAACAACAGCUACAGAAUUUCUUGCUUUAACCUGUGGUAGCUCUGAGAUAUAUUCUGCCUUAGGUUAUUCCAAUUUUGCCAAUAUAUAUGUGCCUCAAUUGACAGAAUGUUUUAUAGUCAUAUUUUCUUUUGCAGAUUGCUAUAAUGUCUGUUGUGAUACUUGGAAUGAGAAAUAUCCCUUCUAGGCUCUUGCGUCAAAACCUAAGUCCCCAUUGGUGCCAAUAUGCUAGGAGGUUCUAGAACAUUUAGGAGGUAGGAUCUAAUUGAAGAAAUAUCACCGUGGGGGCAUGCCUUUGGUUGUACCUUAUUGUAUGAAGAUACUCCAUGAGGUGAAGGAACUUCUACCAUAUAUUGCACCAUCAUGAAACCACGGACUAAAAUUUCUAUAACAACAAGCCAAAAUAUCUCUUUCCACUUUUCAAUUGUUCUAACAGGGUUUUCCUCACUGCAAACAGAGAAUGCAUCUUUCUGCAUGACAGUGGUUAUGUACUUACGAUUCAUGACCUCUUUGGUGGUCAACAUGACCCUAUCAAAGGGGUCAUAUAUCAGAUACCAUCACUGCCAUCAUCAUCUUCAUCAUCAUCAUCAUCAUCACCAUCAUCAUCUUGGACAAUCCACACACAACCCUUGUCCUGUGCUGAGCAUGUUCUAAUGAGUAAGAGAUCAAUUAAAAGAUUAAAUUAAUGCAAUUGAAUCUUCACAUUGGUUUAAUAAACUAAAGUACAUAUCUAAA